rnacentral:rRNA from 1 species
AUACGGAGGGUGCAAGCGUUAUUCGGAAUCACUGGGCGUAAAGGACGCGUAGGCGGGUUGGCAAGUCAGAUGUGAAAUCCUACAGCUUAACUGUAGAACUGCAUUUGAAACUGCUAACCUAGAGUAUGGGAGGGGGAGAUGGAAUUAGUGGUGUAGGGGUAAAAUCCUAGAUAUCACUAGGAAUACCGAAAGCGAAGGCGAUCUCCUGGAACAUAACUGACGCUAAGGCGUGAAAGCGUGGGGAGCAAACAGGAUUAGAAACCCUAGUAGUCC